AAGCCAGUCAAUGAUUCUGAUUAUCUGAAUGUGUUUCUGCAGAAAUUUAGAAAGAGCUGGCAAUGAUGAUGUCAUUUUAUGAGCCUUAAGGACAACUGAGGUCAUUAAAGACCCUGAAAAUGACUACAAUA